rnacentral:rRNA from 2 species
AGUGGGGAAUAUUGCACAAUGGGCGCAAGCCUGAUGCAGCCAUGCCGCGUGUAUGAAGAAGGCCUUCGGGUUGUAAAGUACUUUCAGCGGGGAGGAAGGGAGUAAAGUUAAUACCUUUGCUCAUUGACGUUACCCGCAGAAGAAGCACCGGCUAACUCCGUGCCAGCAGCCGCGGUAAUACGGAGGGUGCAAGCGUUAAUCGGAAUUACUGGGCGUAAAGCGCACGCAGGCGGUUUGUUAAGUCAGAUGUGAAAUCCCCGGGCUCAACCUGGGAACUGCAUCUGAUACUGGCAAGCUUGAGUCUCGUAGAGGGGGGUAGAAUUCCAGGUGUAGCGGUGAAAUGCGUAGAGAUCUGGAGGAAUACCGGUGGCGAAGGCGGCCCCCUGGACGAAGACUGACGCUCAGGUGCGAAAGCGUGGGGAGCAAA